rnacentral:tRNA from 1 species
UGAUAUAGCUCAGUCGGUAGAGCGCCACCUUGGUAAGGUGGAGGUCACCAGUUCAAAUCUGGUUAUC